UCCAAUCCUUUGAAUCGUAUUUGGUUUUAUUGUUUUCAUUCUUUGACGUUGUUUACUCCGGUCCCGGAUAGUCUGUGUAAACUUUCUUUUAAUAAAACUACAAGAACUGCUUCAUUGAUUGUAAUUUGUGUCAGUGAGAGCGUGUUCAUCAUUUAAUGAAGAAAAUUGUCUAGAAAAAAUAAUAGUUUUGCUUUUUUUACCUACCUAUAUGCUGUGAAAAUUUAUCAAGAGACCAUGAUUUACCUGAUUUUCAGCGCACUACUUCCCCCAAUCCUCUGCCAAUUCGUGGCUGACAUGGAGAUGAAACCAGACGUCGCAUUUGGAGAAGAUAACGACAGAUUCGACCUGACCUCCUUCGUUCAACAGCAGAACAAAGUAUACGACCGGUACACUUACAAUAGAGAAGAAGAUGAGUAUUUUAGACGGCAAGGAAACGCGAAAAAAGGUGGAGGUGUAAAAAUUAUUUAUCCCAACGGAGUAGUUGAGGAUUUUGCUUCGUCUGCUGAUACGUCUAAGCGUGGUGGAACAGUAGCAGACUACCACAAGAAUCUAAAGAAACUUUUGACUACAGAUAGCAGGAAAGCAAGGAAGUUGAUAGAGAAAUUGCAUGAAGAUGUUCACGCAUGGAGAAGGAGUAACGGAGUCGUUCCAAAAAUCAAAAAGGAAAAAUAUGUGUUGCCCACAGAUGUCCAGGUUUAUGAAAAUGGCAACACAGAACUGCUGGCAGAUCCUGAGAAGGAGGUGAUGAUGCAUUACGCUGUGCCUGUCGAAAUGACUAUUGAGGGUUACUUGCAAGCUCCUCUUGUGGUUUAGAAAUAAAUUAAGCAUUAGCUAAA